CUUUAAUCAACAACGUCUGUUUUAGGCGACAAGUUUGGAAAAAAAAAAAAAAUUGGAAAGAAGAGAAAAUAGAAAAAAAAGUAGAAACAGGCGAAGCUUGAUUAAAUUUCACAAAUCGUUUUCAUGCUACGGCUCGAUUCAUCAGGUGACUUCGCGCAAUCAAACCUCUCUGGCUUUUAUGGAAAUUUGCCGAAAACCCUCGUGUUGAACAACUAAAUUUGUAACAAAUGAAAUUUCGAGGAUUACAAGCCGCUGAAACGUGAGAAAAAUAUUAAUCCGAAUAGGAAUAUGUUUCGUAAUUAUUCGUCAACAAGCGAAUAACAAGAAUGUUGUGUGGUUGUGGUGUGGUUUUCGUACAAGAAGAAAAGGAAAGAGGAUAAAAAUUUCAAAUGAACGAAAAUAGAGUAAAAUUUCAAGGAAUGGAAGGCUAGACGAGUUUUCUUUCAUACAUCCGUUCAACGAUUCUCAAUUCAAUGUUUCUCGAGCAGAGAAAGAAAAAUAAAAAUUCCGACUAUUAAAAAA